GAGGGACACGGAAUUCCCGGAGUAGUGGUAAAAUGCGUUGAGAUCGGGAGGAACGCCAGUGGCGAAAGCGGUGUCCUGGCCUGGAACCUGACGCUGAGGAGCGAAAGCGUGGGGAGCGAACGGGAUUAGAUACCCCGGUAGUCCACGCCGUAAACGAUGCGGACUAGCGUGGGGGACUCACCCCCUUCGUGCCGAAAGGAAACCGAUAAGUCCGCCGCCUGGGGAGUACGACCGCAUGGUUAAACUUCAAAGGAAUUUGACGGGGGCCCGCACAAGCAGCGGAGCGUGUGGUUUAAUUUCGAGGCUACACGAAGAACCUUUACCUGGGUUUGACAUGCAGCUGGUAGGGAACCGAAAGGGGACCGACCUUUCGGGAGGCUGCACAGGUGCUGCAUGGCUGUCGUCAGCUCGUGCCGUGAGGUGUUAGGUUAAGUCCUGUAACGAGCGCAACCCUCGGGGUCAGUUACACGGUGUCUGGCCCGACCGCCCGCGAUAAGCCGGGAGGAAGGUGGGGAUGACGUCAAGUCAGCAUGGCCUUUAUGUCCAGGGCGACACACACGCUACAAUGGCCGGUACAAUGGGUGGCGAAGCGGCAACGCGGAGCAAAUCCAGCAAAGCCGGUCCCAGUUCGGAUUGCGGGCUGCAACUCGCCCGCAUGAAGUCGGAGUUGCUAGUAACCGCCGGUCAGCCAUACGGCGGUGAAUACGUUCCCGGGCCUUGUACACACCGCCCGUCACGUCAUGGGAGCUAGCCAAGCCUGAAGCCAGUGGGCGAACCGCAAGGGCGCAGC
rnacentral:rRNA from 1 species